CAAAACAGAAAAGUUUGGAGGAGAGAGAGAGAACGUGAGAGGGAGGAAAGCUUAACAGACAAACAAUGAGCGACAGACACCGGGGGAGAAGAGAAGGACAGAAAGACAGAGAGAAUAAACGGGUGGACAGACUGAGUGAGUUGAGGAUUUUCAGAGCCAGUGAGCUGGAAAAGAGAAGUGGACAACCACUGUGCCCCUGAAAAGAGUGCAUGAAGAAGGUAGGGAGGAGGGCUGUGAAGACAGAAGGAGAGAGGGAGGUGAGAUGGAGGGUCUGCAAAAGGUUGAGGGACCGAAAUAGCUCAUGGACCGUGGACAGUUUUGUAACUGUAGUGUGAUUUGAGGAGACCAUAAAGCAUGUACCUGAGGUACAGAGUAGUGUAUGUUUUGGUUUGACCACAUACAGUUCUAGAAAAUGGAGAUACAAUUCUGUGAAAGAGGUGGAAUAUUUUGAACUUUGAAGUUUUAGAAGGACGGAAGAAUUGACGUGUGAGGAGGACGGGAGACGGAGAUUACAAAGCAAAAAUUCACUUGGAGGAAAAAAUUGAGACAAUAUUUUUUACACAUUAACACAAUCCUCCAUCUGCUGUAAUAUUGCAGACACUGCAUUUGGACAGAAGGAGAGAGAGAGAAAGAAGGAGAGGGAGAGAAGGGACGCACCAAAAAAGGGCUGGAGUUAGAGUCGGAGUAACUGCAUGCUUAACAGACACUGUAGAGUCACGGGGAGAGAAGAAUAAGGGGGCGGACAGACAGACAGACAGACAGACAGACAGACAGACAGACAGACAGACAGACAGACAGACAGACAGACAGACAGACAGACAGACAGACAGACAGACAGACAGACAGACAGAUAGACAGACAGACAGACAGACAGACGGAUAGAUAGAUAGAUAGAUAGAUAGAUAGAUAGAUAGAUAGAUAGAUAGAUAGAUAGAUAGAUAGAUAGAUAGAUAGAUAGAUAGAUAGAUAGAUAGAUAGAUAGACAAAGUGACAGCCCCCAGCAGUCACACACAAGGACUGACAGAUGACAGGGGAGUUGCAAGUGGCACAGAGCAAGGAUAGCCGGAACGAGAGAGAGAGAGGGAGGGAGAAAGAGAGAGUGACAGAGACAGGGAGGAAGAGAGAGAGCGGGGAGGCACUGUAAACUACAGGAAGCCCCGGUGUGAAACAAACAGGGGACAGUGGCUAGAAGAGCUCCACUCCAGAACCAGCCACCAGUCUCCAUGGACUCCAGGGAGUCGCAGCACCGCUGAACCCAGGCCCUCCUCUGCUGAACAGCAUGUCGGCGGGCCCGGGACCUCGUGACUCAGACCUACUGCUGUUGGAACUACAGGCUCCAGGGCCGGUUGGACUGCAGACACUGUUGGACCUGCUAGUGGGGGUGUACCAAGAGUUCCACUCGUUACCCCUUGCCAGGGAGAAGUACGUCUCAAGCUUCCUACAAUGGGCGGAGCCCCUGGUGAGGCAGGUGAAGAAGACACGCAUCAAGAGGGAUGACUUCCACAUCUUGAAGGUGAUUGGUCGAGGGACCUUCAGUGAGGUGGCUGUGGCGAGGAUGCGUAGCACACAGCAAGUGUACGCGCUGAAGAUUAUGAAUAAGUGGGACAUGCUGAAGCGAGGAGAGACAGCUUGUUACCAGGAGGAGAGAGAGGUUCUGCUGAAGGGUGAUCGAAGGUGGAUCACAGAGCUGCACUAUGCCUUCCAGGACGACAAUUACCUGUACCUGGUGAUGGACUACUACGUGGGUGGUGACCUGUUGACCCUGCUCAGUAAGUUUGGCGACCGUAUCCCUGAGGACAUGGCCCAGUUCUACUUGGCUGAGAUGGUCAUGGCGAUCGACUCCAUCCACAGGAUGGGCUAUGUGCACAGGGACAUCAAACCUGACAACAUCAUGCUGACGGCGGAGGGCCAUGUCAGGCUGGGGGACUUUGGUUCCUGUCUGAGGGUCCAGGAGGAUGGCAUGGUGUACUCUUCCCUGGCGGUGGGCACACCCGACUACCUGUCCCCAGAGAUCCUGCGUGCGGUGGAGGGAGGGGGAGGCUACGGCCCUGAGUGUGACUGGUGGGCCCUGGGGGUCUGUGCCUACGAGAUGCUGCAGGGGACCACACCCUUCUACGCAGACUCCAUCUCUGAGACCUACGCCAAGAUCAUGAACUUCCAGGAGCACUUUGAGUUCCCCCCGUCUGGCCCCGAGGUUUCAGAUGAGGCCCGUUCCCUCAUCAUGGGGCUAAUCUGUGAGAGGGAGGAUCGUAUGGGGGCCAGGGGUUCUGGGGACUUCAGGGCCCACCCCUUCUUCUGUGGACUAGACUGGGGCUCCCUGCAUGAACUUCCAGCACCCUUCCAACCUGAAGUCUCCAACGCCACUGACACCUCCAACUUUGAUGUGUUGGAUGACUGCCUCAGUGAAAUGGAAACACUGAGUGAUGUUAUGGACAAGGCCCCUAUCGGAGUUCACCUGGCUUUCGUUGGCUACUCCUACACAGCUACAAGACAGACAGGUGCCUUGGAUCGCAGUCGUGACAUCAUGAUGGAGAUUGACCACCAGCGACACCUUGGGUUGCCAAGCUUCAAUUUCCAGGAUAAGCUUAGUCAGAUGUGGCAGCUCAGAGAUGUCCUGACCACGCCUGACAACCUGCCUGCCCUGCUUGAGCUCCCCCUAGCCUUGGAGCAGGGUACUGCAGAGUCGACUCACACCACAACAGAGGAGGAAGAGGAGGAGAACGACCAGAAUUCAGUACUUGAUGAGGAUCUGCAUAGGCGGCUGCAAGAGGCAGAGAAGAGGAAUGGAGAGCUGGAGAAAGAGAUGGAGAGACUGAGAGGGGAGAUCCAGGGCCUGAAGUCCCCCAAGGAGACAGAACUGCGUGUCUGCCCGUCGUCUCUUUCUCUGCCUGCACACUGUCUGGAUGAUGCGAGUGCGGCAAGCUGUGCUGUGCUGUGCUGUGACUCGCACACAAAAAAGACUGCAUCUGUACCCUGGCCUGCAAUCCUGUUCAGUUCGUGACUGUGAGUGUGUUUCAGGGGAAGAAAUCGCCCCCUGCCUGUCACUACCCGCUGGUGAUCCCUCUCCACCGCCACCUGCUGCUGUUUCACAGGAUGCGCUGGCCACAGGAGAGGAGUGAGUCCUACUUGUUGGUGUGUGCGGAGGGGGGAGAUCUCCAAGCCUGGGAC